AAGGAUCAUUAUCACGUAUCCACGUAUAAACCAUUGUGAACCGUUUUUUAACCUCUGCAAAACCGGCCUCGUAGCAUUCGUGUGAAAAGGCUGGCUAGUAACAGAGCGUAUCUACCAUAUUAACCAUUUUAACCAAUCUUUAUAACUUUAUGAACUAACUUUAUUUUAUACUCUUCGGAGAUAAAAUUCAUUACGAAACAAAGAACAACUCUUAGCAACGGAUAUCUUGGUUCUC
rnacentral:misc_RNA from 1 species